UUACGGUAAGAGAUGAGUAUGCCGUCCUAUUAGCUUAGUUGGUAAGGUAACGGCUUAACCGAAGGACAACGAUAGGGUACGGGGCCCUGAGAGGGGGAUCCCCCCACACUGGUACUGAGACACGGACCAGACUCCUACGGGAGGCAGCAGUGAGGAAUAUUGGACAAUGGGCGCAAGCCUGAUCCAGCCAUGCCGCGUGCAGGAAGACGGCCCUAUGGAUUGUAAACUGCUUUUGUACGGGAAGAAACACCACUACGCGUAGUGGCUUGACGGUACCGUAAGAAUAAGGAUCGGCUAACUCCGUG
rnacentral:rRNA from 1 species